rnacentral:rRNA from 1 species
AUUGAACGCUGGCGGCAGGCCUAACACAUGCAAGUCGAACGAGUGGCGGACGGGUGAGUAAUGUCUGGGAAACUGCCCGAUGGAGGGGGAUAACUACUGGAAACGGUAGCUAAUAACGCGUACCAUCGGAUGUACCCAGAUGGGAUGAGCUUGUGGGUGAGGUAACGGCGCACCUAGGCGACGAUCCCUAGCUGGUCUGAGAGGAUGACCAGCCACACUGGAACUGAGACACGGUCCAGCUCCCUACGUGAGGCAGCAGUGGGGAAUAUUGCACAAUGGGCGCAAGCCUGAUGCAGCCAUGCCGCGUGUAUGAAGAAGUCCUUCGGUUUGUAAAGUACUUUCAGCGGGGAGGCGUUACCCGCAGAAGAAGCACCGGCUAACUCCGUGCCAGCAGCCGCGGUAAUAC